CAUGACGAUGACGAUGUCAUCUCGUUCUCGGCACCGCCUCCACCUCCGGCGGGAGCAUCACCGUUUCAAUCAACGGAAUGGAGAACGCUUGUGAAUGGGGGGAAGGAGAGGUUGAGGUUCGUGUGCAUCUGAUGAUAGGUUCUCCAGAAAGAAAAGGGUCAGUUUUGUUUGAUGGAUUAUAAAGAAAAUGUCGAAAUGAUAGGUUCUCUCGAGUUAGUUUAGUAGUGUUAGUCAUGGGUCAAGUAGCUCCCACAAUUUUGUUCUUUGGCUUUUCGUAUGGUUGAAAUCAGUUUUUUUUUUUUUUCUGAGCUUGUGUGAUGGGAGGUUGUGUAUCUGUCUCGUUGCCAUGUGAUCAAGUGGUGGAUCAGUUCACUCAGUGGUUAUGUGUCAGGGGUUGUACUUAUAUUGGCAGUCUCUCUGAGAAUCUGGCUUCUCUGCAGAAAGCCAUGGGAGUGCUCAAGGCAAAGAGAGAUGAUGUGCAAGGAAGGGUAGACAGAGAAGAGUUUACUGCGCGUCGUAGAAGGCUUUCCCAAAUCCAGUUAUGGCUUAUGAGUGUCCGAGCCAUCGAAUACCAAUUCAAUGAUAUCCUUAUUACUAGUGACGUUGAGCUUCAAAGUUUGUUUCUUUGUGGUGUUUGCUCUAAGGAUUUGAAACGGAGUUAUCGUUUUGGGAAAAAGGUUAGUGUAAUGUUGAGGGAGGUUGAGAGUCUUACUUCUCAAGGAGUAUUUGAUGUAGUGACUGACUGAGGCAGCUCCAGUAGCUGAGGUUGAAGAGAUACCACCUAUCCAACUUACUGUCGUUGGUCAGGAAACAUUGCUUGAAAAGUUUUGGAACCGUCUAAUGGAAGAUAGAGUUGGGAUAUUGGGUCUGUAUGGUAUGGGUGGAGUAGGCAAAACCACUCUUCUCACGCAGAUCAACAAUAAGUUUUCUGAAAUAGCUGGGUUUGAUGUUGUAAUAUGGGUUCUCGUGUCUAGAGUUUCAGAGAUCCGUAAGGUUCAAGGAGGCAUUGCAAAGAAGUUAGGCCUUGUGGACGACGAAUGGGACCAGCAAAACGAAUACCAGAGAGCUCUUGACAUACACAAUGUUCUCAAGAGACGAAAAUUUGUGUUGUUGUUGGAUGAUAUAUGGGAGAAAGUGAACUUGCAAGCUGUUGGAGUCCCCUAUCCAAGCAAAGAAAAUGGAAGUGUAGUAGCUUUUACCACUCGUUCUCGGGAUGUGUGUUGAUGAUCCGAUCGAAAAGGCACAACGACGUCCUCCUGCCAUAAGACGUUUCAAACUUCCUAUUAUUCCACCUCCAUGGAAUAGUAUCCAUGUCACGCUUUCUUUUGGAGAGAGUUCCAGUCUAAAGCUUACAAGCAAUGAGAUGAACGGAAUUGAGAUUUCCAGCUCUGGUGAAACUAUUUUAUGGAAUUGUGGCAAGAACAUCAGAUUCGCUUGACUACUUUGCUCCAAACUUCCACCAGUGACAACUUGCUUUUGUAUCCUCACAAUGCUUCAAAACCAAGCACAGCCGCCGCCGUUAAGAAGACACUUCAAGAAGAUAAAACAAAAGUAAGAGCUGAGAUCCAUCAGAACAGUAAAAAACUGUGCCUCGUCAGAGUUCUUCUACAUGCUUUGCUUUCAAGGAAGGGUCUUUUGAAGAAGGCGCGGUUGUAUGUGCACCAUUUGUUUUGCAGACAUAUCAUUGCUGAAAUCCAGCUGCAGUGAAGGAGAGGAAGGGCGUGUUACAAUCCCUCAACCUUCUGCAAGUUCUUACUUCCAAGAACAACCUUCUGGAACCUGGGAACUAAAGUGUCCCUGAAGACACUCUUACAAAGCAGAUGGCCAAUCGGGUUUGUAACAAACAGGAUUUGUCCGUGGGAGUAAAAAGCAGAAGGCGGAAGCUUUCUGUGAUGCAGUAUGGUGUUAGAAAGAUGUAAAACGGAGGAAGAAGGAGAUUUUAUGUUUUGGUUAGAAACCUAAGAUCUUGUGCUUUUUUAGAAUCGCACUUGCUACCAUUGUUUUGUUAGAGCAACAAGAGUCUAGUAGUGAUGUCUACUGCUUUUGUGAAAACGCAUUCACCAGCAAGCACUUUUAUUUUUGUGAAUUUGGAUGUAAUGUGUCAAUGGUUUCAAUAAAGUCAAUCACAUGAUCCAAAAAGAGCUUUGAGAUCUUUUA